UCUGUUGGGCUGAAAUCAAUUUUUCUCCUUUUUGUGUGAAUUCGUUGAUGCCUUCAUCCACCCACUCACCCAUCCCUCCAUUUAACUAACACUCAAAGCAAACUUAACACAUCUCAGAUCCUCAGUGCUUCAUGUGUCAUUGUUUACGUCUCCUCUGAUUAUUUAUAGGUGAGAAAAAUAAAGAAGGUGGUGUGAGUUAUUUGGGUGCAAAACGAUAUUCUAGAAGGAAGUGCUCAGCUAAAACUGUGCUAGAUAAGUAACUUAAAAAAGGAGAGAGAAAAAUGAAAGAAAAAAUAAAAAGAGCGGCAGAGAGGAAAUGGGAAGGUCUCGGGGGAAAUUCGGCUUCCUAUCUGUCUGGGUUUUGAUUUUGAGUUGCACCAGAGGAGUCUUUAUGUCUGGGAUGCUGAGAAAACCAGCCCACGCCAGGCGGGCUGUGAGGACAGGAUUUGGAGGCGUUUCGUUUCUUAAACUCUAUAGUCUGGAUUCUGGUGUCAGGGGCCUGAGCCAUUUUCCUCCUCCUGUACCUCCCAGCUCCUACUCUACUUCCUCCAAUCUUCCUAAGAAUUCUGAGUCCUGCAGAAAGGCAGGCUUCUCCAUCCUCCACAACCGAGGCGCAGGUUUCUCUUUCCUCACACCUGCACGUCCACGCCCAGCGCCCCAGCCCCUCACACCCAGGUAACUGUUAGAGUCUCUCAUACACGGACAUCAUUAACACCUCCAGAUUCCCAAGGGCUAGGACACUGAGGCCAGUGUCCACAUCUGCCAAAUUCCUCCCAUAGCUGCGUGCGAGCUGAGUAUGUUCCUAAGACGCCUAAGGAAUUCAGCACGGGGCUCAGGGUCCACUGCGACGCUGAGCGGAGGACAGCGGCCGCUGUGCUGGGUCUCGGGUGGGGAGGGGUAGCGGUCCUGCCCUGAGCCCGGACUCCACAGCUUGGCGCCUGCACCGCUCCCCUCGCCGAGCCCGCGGCGGAGUCUGCAGGCCCCACGCAGCACCGUGUUCUCAGGCGCUGGGACUUCCAACCCGCGAUCUCUCCACUGUAGUAUUUCUUGGGACCUUCCCUGGGGUUCCCCCCGGGGCGUAGAGGGAAGGAACGUCUGGGGACAAGCGCCCAGGAAGGAUCUGGAUUCUGUGUCCUCCGCCGGGAGCAGACCCCACCGCAGGCGGCAGUGUGUGGGGCGCCCCCGGGAUGGUGGCGGGGACCGAACCCCUGCCCCGCGGAGAAGCAGGGGGCACUGGCCGCGGUUCCCCCAGCGCUGCGGCCGCCGUGCUCGCCAGGAUCUGGGGUGGCGCGGAGGGCGGCGGGCUCACACCAAAGUCCACCAGGGGCCAAAGUCUGCCGGCCCCAAGCUCCCACCGCGGGGUCGCGGGGGUUUGCUCCGCCUCGUGAGCUUGGGAUUCUGGUUAAAAAGGCGACUGGGCGGAGCCAGGGGCCUUCGACGGCGGGAGGACAGCGCUGCGAGGAGGCGCCCGGGACAGUCAUGGAGCGCCCCGUGGGAGUGAGGGCCUGGGUGGAGGAGAACCGGCGCUCCUUCCAGCCCCCCGUCUGCAACAAGCUCAUGCACCAGGAGCAGCUCAAAGUCAUGUUCGUUGGAGGCCCCAAUACCAGGAAGGACUAUCACAUCGAAGAGGGUGAAGAGGUAUUUUACCAGCUGGAGGGAGACAUGGUUCUCCGAGUCCUGGAGCAAGGGAAACACCGGGAUGUGGUCAUUCGGCAGGGAGAGAUAUUCCUCCUGCCUGCCAGGGUGCCCCACUCACCACAGAGGUUUGCCAACACCGUGGGGCUGGUGGUUGAGCGAAGGCGGCUGGAGACCGAGCUAGAUGGACUUAGGUACUAUGUGGGCGACACCAUGGACGUUCUGUUUGAGAAGUGGUUCUACUGCAAGGACCUCGGCACGCAGUUGGCCCCCAUCAUCCAAGAGUUCUUCAGCUCUGAGCAGUACAGAACAGGAAAGCCCAUCCCUGACCAGCUUCUCAAGGAGGCACCAUUCCCUCUGAGCACACGAUCCAUCAUGGAGCCCAUGUCCCUGGAGGCCUGGCUGGACAGCCACCGCAGGGAGCUGCAGGCAGGCACAGCACUCAGCCUGUUUGGGGAUACCUAUGAGACCCAGGUGACCGCCUAUGGGCAAGGCAGCAGCGAAGGCCUGAGACAGAAUGUGGAUGUGUGGCUGUGGCAGCUGGCAAGUGGGGCCCAGGGACAGGGUUGCAGAACCCCCUGCCAGAGGGCAUCAGCCCACUCCUGGGACUGGGGCUCCCACACGGGGCCCACUCUUGGGGCCUUGGUGCCCAGGCAGACUCAGACAUUCACCCAGGUGUUGAGGCCCAACAGUCUCCAUUUGAUUCUCCUGCUCCUCUUCUCCAGGAGGGCUCCUCGGUGGUGACAAUGGGGGGACGGCACCUGAGCCUGGCCCCUGAUGACAGCCUCCUGGUGCUAGCUGGGACCUCGUAUGCCUGGGAGCGAACACAAGGCUCUGUGGCCCUGUCUGUGACCCAGGACCCUGCCUGCAAGAAGCCCCUGCAGUGACCCUGUUGCCGUGGCCUGAAGCAGCCACAGGUGUGCCUUGCAAGCACCCUCAAGUGCCAUCCCUGCCAAACAACUCUCCUAGCCCUACUGCUCCUCUGUGUACCUCCACAGACCUGGACAUUGUUGUCACCCACCCUCCUGCCCUUCUCAGCCCAGAUGCCACGCCCCUGAGUGGGCAGCAAUUCCCCAUCUUCUCCGGCAGCCUCAGCCUACUGCCUUGCCAGUCUUGCCAGGUGGUCUACUCCUGGCUCAGCUCCUGACCAUUCCUCUGUCCCUGCAGACUCAGUGCAGCACUUCCCCGCCAAGAAGGCCCUCAAUAAAGGCUUCCUGGUGAACGCA